rnacentral:rRNA from 1 species
GACGAACGCUGGCGGCGUGCUUAACACAUGCAAGUCGAACGAUGAAGAAGAGAAACGCGAACUUCGGUUCAAAUUUCACUUCGGAUUAGUGGCAGACGGGUGAGUAACGCGUUAGCAACCUACCUCUUACAAAGGGAUAGCCUCGGGAAACCGUGAUUAAUACCAUAUGACACAUUCAUAAGGCAUCUUAAGAAUGUUAAAGCUACGGCGGUAAGAGAUGGGCUCGCGUCCCAUUAGCUAGUUGGUGAGGUAACGGCCCACCAAGGCGACGAUGGGUAACCGGCCUGAGAGGGUGAGCGGUCACAUUGGCACUGAGACACGGUCCAGACUCCUACGGGAGGCAGCAGUGGGGAAUAUUGCACAAUGGAGGGAACUCUGAUGCAGCGACGCCGCGUGAGCGAUGAAGGAAUUCGUUUCGUAAAGCUCUGUUCUAUGGGAAGAAAAGGACUGUACCAUAGGAGAAAGCCCCGGCUAAAUACGUG